AAAACGGCCCUUUUCAGGGCCACCAAACACAUUCCCAAAAGAGUUAU
rfam:Aedes aegypti strain Liverpool supercont1.98 genomic scaffold, whole genome shotgun sequence.